GCGGUACUAGUGCUGCGAUGAAUGUGCAUGUGCCACAGGAACGACAAUGCAACACACCUGUUGUGCAUGGUACAUCUUCUUUGGGAGGAUCUGGAGGACAGAGCUCGUCUCGGCCAACUAUGGACACUUUUCAAAGCGAUGAUGAUGAGGACGAAGAGGGGGUGGCCGAGGAGCGUGACUAUGACGAGCUUGGGUUAUCUCAGCUUCCUGAUGCUCCUUCUACUCAGCCUACGCAGGUUGCAAGAAGGCGACGUCGUUCGCCUUCUAGGUACACUCCAGGCACCGAUGCUCUUGGCCACAAGGGUAAGGGUAAGACUAGGAGGCAGUGAGGAUGACUUCUAUGCUAACACCAUGGUAGCAACUUACAAUUUAUGGCAUAACUUCUGUUAUUUUGCAUGUAUCGACACUGUGAACUUUGUGGACUAUUUGUACUAUAUGAGACUGUAUGGUCUCUGUGGACUAUCUGAACUAUCAUUCCUGAUGGC